UACAGCGGUCUCAACCGUUGUUCGGAUUCAUUGGGCGUAAAGGGUGCGUAGGCGGUCGCGUAAGUCGGAUGUGAAAUCCCAGGGCUCAACCCUGGAACUGCAUUCGAUACUGCGUGGCUAGGGUACUGGAGAGGAGACUGGAAUUUACGGUGUAGCAGUGAAAUGCGUAGAUAUCGUAAGGAAGACCAGUGGCGAAGGCGAGUCUCUGGACAGUUACCGACGCUGAGGCACGAAGGUCAGGGGAGCAAACGGG
rnacentral:rRNA from 1 species